UACGUAGGGCGCAAGCGUUGUCCGGAAUUAUUGGGCGUAAAGAGCUCGUAGGCGGUUUGUUACGUCUGCUGUGAAAACCUAGGGCUUAACCCUGGGCCUGCAGUGGAUACGGGCAGACUAGAGGUAGGUAGGGGAGAAUGGAAUUCCCGGUGUAGCGGUGAAAUGCGCAGAUAUCGGGAGGAACACCGGUGGCGAAGGCGGUUCUCUGGGCCUUACCUGACACUGAGGAGCGAAAGCGUGGGGAGCGAAACAGG
rnacentral:rRNA from 1 species